CCGAAUCAGCCUAUGCAUGUGUAGUAUGUGUCACAGUAAUCUGCUCUCCCCUCUUGCAUGUUCGACAACUAAGCUGAGAAAAAUCCUUGUGCCCUUAAUGAUAUGUCUCGGCUAAAGACUCCCUUGAACAAGGGAUCGAUUUAUCCAUGACCCAAACUGAUCCCAUUCCAUCUCCAAGCAGCGUGAAAGAAAACAAAAAGUUAGUCAUCAUCCUCACCAUCUCCUUAUGCGUAGGUUAGAGAACAAAACAGAAAAGAUGAGCCUGCAAACCGUUAAAUAAAAACAGAAAACAUUGUUAUCCUAAUCUCCUCCUAAACCGUGGAUUCCUCAAGAGAGAGACUCAGGAUCCAAUUCCAUUUUCCUCUUCCCUUAACUAAAUCGUGCACUUAGAAGCAAGGGGGAAGCAUUCUCGCUACUGCCAUUGUUCCCUCUUUCCAUGUUCGGCUGUACAUUACAAGCAAGCGCUAAUUGAGUCCAUCCUCACCCUUGCAUGCAGCCGGAUUCGGCCCUUGGGAGUUAGGAAUGAGUAGCAGGCUGUUUCUGUUUCGGCUAGGAUCAUUAGUGUGCAGCCAAGGAGGUCCGCGAACUGCUAAGAAAGUGGACUGAAUUGGUGAUUCGUCUGUUUAAAAAGUUGUAAACGUCACAGGUCCGCGAACUGCUAAGAAAGUGGACUGAAUUGGAGAUACGUCUGUUUAAAAAGUUGUAAACGUCACAGGUUGCCGUACGUCGACUUGAAUCCCGAACCGUGAAUCAGAAGAGUGCCCUUGGUCCUGGACCAAGUGAGUUGAGGCAUUCUGUUGAGUAACAAGUUUGGAAAAUAAGCUGCUGUGGAGUUAGUGAAGAGGCAUACUAAGGUUGCCGUACGUUGAUUUGAACCCCGAACUGUGAGUCGGUGGAUUGCCUUUGGUCCAGGACCAAGUGGAUUGAGGCAUUCUGUUGAAUAACAAGUUUGGAAAAUAAGCUGCUGCAGAGCUAAGUGGAGGAACAUAUUGAGACAGGUGGGUCUGCGCCUUUGCAAAUCUCCUAAUGGUGAAUUGGCACUAGACAUAAUUCUUGAGAAAGAAGCUGUUAAAUAAAGUGGUGAUGUGUAAGGUCAGUGUUUCAAUCUCAACAAAGGUAAGACAAUAGAAAUAUGGCUAAGCAAUCAGCAGGAAUUAUGGGCAAAAAGGCUCAGGCUCAAAGGGGUUAACAAUGGAGAAAUCAAACAGGGAAAUGAAGCUCAAUGAAGCAAAGAGAGAAGGAAGAAGAUUCUGAAGAAUGGGAAAAUUCUAAGUGUUGGGCGCUAAAACGCCCAAAAUCAAGAGUUUUAGCGCCCUGCUGCAUAUUGAGGCCUUAAAUUGCUGGUGCUCAGCGCUAAAACGCCCAAAUCGAACAUUUUAGCGCCCUGAUGAGCGCUAAAACGCCUAAAUCGAAUGUUUUAGCGCCCAAGACAGUUGAAAGCAGUUGGGCAUCCGUCAAAGUUGGACGCUAAAACGCCCAGAAGUGAACGUUUUAGCGUCCAUGUCUGUUUUCAGUUGUAAUUUGUAAACUAUAAAAGGACAAGGGGCCUUCAUACUCUGAUAUCCAAUCCUAUCAUAUCUCAUUUUGACUUUUCCCAUCACACUAGGAGAAGGGAGAUCAGGUCAGGUCUUUCAUAGAUCUGAUCUGACUCCUCAUUUUCUCUGAAUUUCCAAAUUCUUAGGAUUAGUUCUUGUAAUAGUUAGUAUUUUCUAUGUAAUUGCAGUUGGAGAUUGAAGACUCAACUAUCAUGUCAAUGGAGUUUGAUCUUUCUUCUCUUGUUUGUAUUUGAAUUAUGUCUUAGUAGAGU